CUUGGAAUAGAAGGAAACGACAUGAUAACUGACAGGUUCAGUAAAAUGGCACAAGAGCCAUCGCCAGUGGCACAGUGAGGUCACACACAAGGGCGUGGUUACUUUCACCUGGGGAAACUUCACAAAGGAGGUGAUGUCUGAGCUUAGUCUUGAAAAUUCAGGGGCUGCUUGCCAGGGAAUAGACGGAUGGUUGGGGAUGGGGUAAUGGUUGGGAGUGGAGACAUGCCCGGAGGUUACCCCGGAGAGCCACCUGUUUGAGAUGUUGCCAUCAGAGUGUCUUGUCCAAGAGGGGCCAUGUCAGGCCAUGAAGCCAGAGCAGUCAUGGGAAGCCAGCCCUGAUCAAAACCACUGGCCCUCACCUUCAACAAUGCAGCCAUUCCAAGAGUCGUUCCAUCCAGGCCAGAGCCAAUAAGCAGCCCAGGGACGCACUGGCGGUCACGCCACCUUGCAGCAGGUGGAGCAAGGGCUUUUGACUCAACUUCAGGUGAGGAGUGAGUAAGGUGAAGAUUUGAAUCUACUUUGGGAAGAAAGGUAUGUGAAGUCAGUUUAGAGUAUUUCAGGCCAUGUGGAAUGUCUCUUCUGAGAAGAUCCUCCUACGUUCCACCUAAUAAACACAUUUGUCUA